rnacentral:piRNA from 1 species
CCAAAUGCCAUGAAGAUAUAUGUCGAGCC